AUCCGACUGACGAGUCCCAAAGAGAACGAAACGCGCGUCUUAGAU
rnacentral:hammerhead_ribozyme from 1 species